GUCCAUUCAGCUGCUCUAAAAUGUGAGCUCCAAAUCAGGGGCCAUGUCUGCUUGGUUACCCAUUUCCUGGGACCUAGAACGGGCCUAGCUCAGAGCAGGUGCUCACUAUUGAUGGAAUGCAUGUUGAAAGAAUGCGUGAAUCUCAUCUCCUUUUGUGGGUGAAAAUCUCAUCCUAUUCUCACUCCUGAUUAACUUUCUUUCUUUUUUUUUUUUUUCAAAAUGGAGCCCUGAUCUGUCACCCAGGCUGCAGUGCAAUGGUGCAAUCUUGGCUCGCUGCAACCUCUGCCUUCUGGAUUAAAGCAAUUCUCCUGCCUCAGCCUCCUGGGUAGCUGGGAUUACAGGGGAGUCCUUGAGCAGAAGGAAGCAAGUUGCCUGAGAUUCUUCAAAGCCCGCAGCCCUUUUGGAUGUAGAAGUUGCUGGUCCCAUCUUGCUCACAAUCCUCCAAAGUUUGAAAGUUAUUUUCCAGGAGACUUGGCUUGCACUGAGAGCUGCCCUCCCACCCUCUCUCCAAAUUUCCUCUUGGGGGUAGCCUAACAAGGUGCUGUCACAGACCCUUGUCAGCCACUAUGACCCCACCCAGACCAUCCCUCUGCUGUUUCACUCUUUGAUAGUCUCUGGAGCUCUCUGGGGAGGGGU
rnacentral:lncRNA from 1 species